rnacentral:rRNA from 1 species
GGCGAACGGGUGAGUAACACGUGAGUAACCUGCCCCUGACUCUGGGAUAAGCGUUGGAAACGACGUCUAAUACUGGAUAUGAUCACUGGCCGCAUGGUCUGGUGGUGGAAAGAUUUUUUGGUUGGGGAUGGACUCGCGGCCUAUCAGCUUGUUGGUGAGGUAAUGGCUCACCAAGGCGACGAUCCGUAACUGGUCUGAGAGGAUGAUCAGUCACACUGGAACUGAGACACGGUCCAGACUCCUACGGGAGGCAGCAGUGGGAAAUUUUCCGAAAUGGACGAAAGUCUG